CCCGAGAGAGGGUCUCACGAUCCCUAAUCCUGGUGCCGCCACAAUCUCGACACGAGCCCCAUCUACACCCGCUUCUCUGCCGUUGGCGUCGAGAUCAGACGCCACGGGGAAGGCGCCCGUGUCAGUGGUUCGAGGCCACCCACGGCAGCCGCUCCCAUCGCUGCGGCUGGCGGUGGCUUUGACUAGGAAGAGAACCUUCCCUGCCGCGCUCACCUAGAACAAGAUCACCGAAGACUUCGUCCCCGCGCCUCCAUCCACUUCCAGGUGAGCAUGAUGGCCCGACCCCGACCCUCGCUGCCCCAUCUGCAUCUCCUGAGCACCGGCGGCCCACCUUAACACUGAUGGCAGUGAACCAGUGGAGCUGUAAGAGACAGACGUGGGUUUUGCCCUUGCCGCUUUUGCUUUCUCAUUUACUUGUCAUGCUGUGUCGAAGGGUAACAGGGAUUCAGGGCCUGUGAACUUCAUACUCAGUAUUUGUGAAAUAUGACGUAAAGGUUGACAGAGAUGAUGCCCACCAUGUAUUCACUGAAAUGCUCUUAAGAAGAGUUUCUCCAUCACCAGCCGGGCCAGGAUUGCAGCACCAACCUUCAGAUCAACGCCAAGCUGGAUAUGAGAGGAAUUCCUAAAGAUUUUUAAUUCCCACUAUGGUCGUAAAGAUUGGAUACUUCCCAACAUUUUGAAAAAAUGGAAUUUGCAGCAAACAAAUUAGCCCUUCGUCUUGCAAUUUUAUUGCCAGUCAUCAAUGUGUUGUGGUCCUUGGCACGCUGCACGCCCCCACAACCUUGCAAGACAGGCUACAUCGCCCCACAGGCGACCUCUGGGGCGACAAUGUGGACCCCUGCGCCCUCUCCGUGUCCCAGCUCAAGGGCGCAAUGACCAACGAGGUCUUCCGUAUCACCUGACUCGGCAGCGAGGGCGACCUCCGCAAGGAGCAGAGAAGAUUGUUACAUACCUUAGCUCUGCGGGUAGUCACAAGACCAUGCCCAUCUGUGGGAGCUUGGCCUCAAAGCCAAGUGAGGAGGUGACAAUGCAUAUAUUUCAGAGUUGAUAACAUUGGACCUUUGGGUGUUAUAGCCCUCCAACAGCUCCAUUUCUUAUUCGAUUGCUUAUUGGAAUACUGGUUAUAUGUUCUCUAGGUUUCAUUGUGAUAGUAGAUUCAGACAAGCUAUGAGGUUAAAGUUAGAUACGAAGGAACAAAAUGAAUACCAAAUACCUAAGAAACCUAACAUCGUUUCUCAUUCAGUUUAGGUUCAGGGACACAUGACAUGUAAGAAUUCAUUGUGGACUAACCUGAAGGUACUCAAGCAGUAAAUGGAAGUGUAUAUGUA